rnacentral:rRNA from 1 species
UACGGAGGAUGCAAGCGUUAUCCGGAAUGAUUGGGCGUAAAGAGUCCGUAGGUGGUUAUUCAAGUCGAUUGUUAAAGAGCGGGGCUUAACCCCGUAGAAGCAGUGGAAACUGAAUAACUAGAGAGAGGUAGGGGUAGAGGGAAUUCCCGGUGUAGCGGUGGAAAUGACGUAGAGAUCGGGAAGAACACCAGUGGCGAAAGCGCUCUACUGGGCCUCAUCUGACACUGAGGGACGAAAGCUAGGGGAGCGAAAGGG